rnacentral:ncRNA from 1 species
ACGGGUCAAAUGUAGUAGGGAACGAACCAGACCCUUUGUGAAAGGAGAGAUACUUCCCGGGCGGAAAGCCCGAAACCGCCCUUUGUGGCCACGGCACGGACGCUGCUUGCAUGGCGGGGUAUUGCGCUAUCCCCGUUUCAUGUGUCGGGCCAAAGUAGUUUAUACGCGCACCUACAAGACAACUAUGCGGAGGGCGAAUACUUUUUAUUAUGACC